rnacentral:pre_miRNA from 1 species
AUCACAUGAGGAUUUUGUUGAAAGGCAGGUUCUGAUUCAGCAGGUCUGGAUGGAACCUGUGAUUCUGCAUUUCUAACCAAUUCCCAGGUGAUGCUGA